GCAGAGGUCCAGAAACAGGGCUACCCACCAAUCGCGUGGUGACAGAGGAGAGAGGGUCCUAAGGACAGAUGAGGAUGUUCUUGAUUUUGUACUCCAAGUAAAUGUAUUUAAGAAUGGUUACCCCAACCUCUGAGAAAUCUGAAAGUGGCAGCUGGAAAUGCCAGGUGCUGGGGAUGUUGUAUAACCCAGAUUCUAGCAGAUGAGGACAGAACCCGAAGUCCCUCCGUAGGGGAGGAAAGAACUUCCUGGCUCUUCACGUACGUUGGGAAGGAGGAGAGUGGGGUGUGACCUUAUACGUGGUAACUCUCCCAGGGCAGACUCCAGUUUAUUCAUCUAUAAGGAGAACACAUGGCAACACUGAAUUGACAGAGUUCAAACACCAAAGGGGCAUUUGAGAACUGGAGCUGCCCGAUGGCAAGAGGGCACUUGUAUCAGAAGCUUCACUGCACAGGCCUACAAUAAAUGGUGCCUUGACAUC
rnacentral:lncRNA from 10 species